AUAACAUGAUGUGGGCACUUGUCUUUACAAAUCUUUGAAUCUCUCCCAUGCUUCAUACAAUGAUUCAAAGUCACCUUGAACAAAGGUUGUAAUCUCAUGAUUCU